UGUUGUUAUCUUUAAAAAUUAUUAAUGUGUCAUUUCAACAUAAAAUAUUUAUGUCAAGUGAAUUAGGACUGAAAUUCUUCUUCCAUCCAGAAGGUGGCAGUAGUAAAAUGUCUGCUGCCAUAAAUUAUAUAGAGAAACUGCGCAUGCGUAAUUCCAGUUGAAGGACAACGUCUUUGUGCAUUUUCUGGCGGAAAGUUUGAUCUUUUGGUUGAGUUUAAAAAAGGUAAGCUAAUAUUUAUUUUCUCCUAUACGUAUUUCGUAAUAUUUUAAUGUUAAGCGUGAUUGUAUUUUGGUUUGUGAUACAAGAUGUGCUCUUUAUUUUGAGGUGCUAAUGAGAAAGCAGAAAACUGCUUACUCAUGUUGGUCUGCUUUCCUCCCGCUUAGCCCCACCGAUUCUCAGGCACAUUUCAUAUUUUGUAGGUCCUGAAGGAUUGCUUUAACCUGUGCUGCCUGCUGGCUGGUUAAGGCACUGUACUCACUCAACAGAUCUGGCUAUAGCCUAUAUGUGCUCCCUCCUUCAUUGAUGUGGCGUAGGUGGCAUUGCUGACUCUGCAAACGACUUAAAUGUGGCAGUGUAAGGGUUGCAGUUCAAAAACCUCAACUAGGGUCCAGUUACUUAAACAUUAUAGGUUAAAUCAUCCACAUUAUGG